GCCAACCACUUAGUUACACGUGGAUAAGCCACCAACAAGAAUCGAAUUGUGAUCGCCCUCGUCCACUGCUCUAAUUCCAACAUCUCCUUGGAACUUAGCUCUGAGAUUCACAGGCAAGGGAUGAUGAUAGAGGCCAUGACCGCCUCAUAUUCACCUCUUCUAGUUCAAUCAAUGGCUAGCCCAAAGCCAGUACCGGCAGCUACCAGGACUGUUAGUUCUAAAAAGGCUACACCAUUCUUCCCCUUGGGAAGCCAGGACCUCGAACCACCGUAUCAGGAACUGCACCAUCUGUAAAACUAUUAACAAGGGUGGAGCAGCUGCGCUUGCUAACCAAAGCAGAGAAAGCAGGCCUACUGUCGGCAGCAGAAAAAUUUGGUCUGUCCCUGUCAACAAUAGAGAGACUAGGACUUCUUUCAAAAGCAGAAGAACUUGGAGUGCUUUCAGCAGCGACUGAUCCUGGAACUCCAUCUGUCCUUUUCACCAUCAGCUUCUUGCUGCUGCUUUUGGGUCCUUCCUGUGUCUACUUGGUCCUGGGAUUAUCCUUGGGAGAUAGCGUUGCAGAUUGUAGUAGCUUUGCUUUCUGUCAUUGGCGGAUCAGCUGCUUUUGCAGCGUCAAAUCUUGUAUCUAAUUUGCAGAAAUCAAAUUGAGUUGCAGAAUUUUGCCAAAUAUGGUAUUUAUAUUUUUCCUUUUCUUCCCUUGGAACUGGGAAAACUUGGCAGGAUCAAAGCCACAAAGAAUCUAUAGUGUUACCAGCGUUGUGCAUUCAA